rnacentral:rRNA from 1 species
AGCAGCCGCGGUAAUUCCAGCUCCAAUAGCGUAUAUUAAAGUUGCUGCAGUUAAAAAGCUCGUAGUUGAAUUUCGGGACUAAUAUGUCGGUCGUGCCUCGGUACGUACUGGUUUAUUGGUUUCUCCUUUCUGAAGAACCAUGAUGUCAUUUAUUUGGUGUCGUGGGGAAUCAGGACUGUUACUUUGAAAAAAUUAGAGUGUUUAAAGCAAGCUCACGCUUGAAUACAUUAGCAUGGAAUAAUGAAAUAGGACGUUUGAUUCUAUUUUGUUGGUUUCUAGGAUCGACGUAAUGAUUAAUAGGGAUAGUUGGGGGCAUUAGUAUUCAAUUGUCAGAGGUGAAAUUCUUGGAUUUAUUGAAGACUAACUACUGCGAAAGCAUUUGCCAAGGAUGUUUUCAUUAAUCAAGAACGAAAGUUAGGGGAUCGAAGACGAUCAGAUACCGUCGUAGUCUUAACCAUAAACUAUGCCGACUAGGGAUCGGAUGAUGUUAAUUUUUUAAUGACUCA